AGAUGUGUGAAUGGACAUCUUA
rnacentral:miRNA from 1 species